rnacentral:rRNA from 1 species
CAAUAGCGUAUAUUAAAGUUGUUGCAGUUAAAAAGCUCGUAGUUGGAUUUGUGGCGUACGGUGUGUUCCGGGCACUUGUUGUCUGAGUAACCUGCUGUUGCCAUCCUUGGGUGGAACCUGUGUGGCAUUAGGUUGUUGUGCAGGGGAUGCCCAUCAUUUACUGUGAAAAAAUUAGAGUGUUCAAAGCAGGCUUAUGCCGUUGAAUAUAUUAGCAUGGAAUAAUGAGAUAGGACUUUUUUGCUAUUUUGUUGGUUUGCGCAAGAAGGUAAUGAUUAAUAGGGACAGUUGGGGGUAUUCGUAUUCCAUUGUCAGAGGUGAAAUUCUUGGAUUUUUGGAAGACGAACUACUGCGAAAGCAUUUACCAAGGAUGUUUUCAUUAA